UUAACCCAUUAAGCGCCAGCACUCUCCCCUUGACGAGUAAAAUUGUCUGGCGUUAGACAGAGUAAAAUACUCUGGCGUUAGACAGAGUAAAAUACUAAAGUAGGGUGCAUCAGGGUGCAAUACGACUCAAUGGGUUAACUAGACACACAGGCAGAUAGGCCAGUUAACCCAUUAAGCACCAGCGCUCUCCCCUUGACGAGUAAAAUUGUCUGGCGUUAGACAGAGUAAAAUACUCUGGCGUUAGACAGAGUAAAAUACUAAAGUAGGGUGCAUCAGGGUGCAAUGCGACUCAAUGGGUUAAAAU